rnacentral:snRNA from 1 species
GUGCUUGCUUCAGCAGCACAUAUACUGAAACCGGAACGAUGCAGAGAGGAUUAGUAUGUCCCUUGUGCAAAUUCAUGAAGUGUUAAAAAAAAAACAAAACUGGU